rnacentral:lncRNA from 1 species
GAUAUUUCAAAAUUUGAUCUUUUAACAUGUCCGGACACUUGCACAACUAGAGAAUUCAUGAUACUCCUUGACUUUUCAGCAAAAUAUGAUAUCAUCAUAGUUAAAUACAACUUUUGGCAUUUCUACCUUGAAGAUUUCAACUCUAACAUAACAUUUAGCAAUUAUUUAUAAAUUUUGUCAAAUUAAAAAGCAAUUGGGCUAAAAAAUUAUUCAUUUAUACAUACAUUUGUGGAUAUUGACAAGCAAUAUAUAAUAUAAUGUGGGCACAUUGAAGUGUCCGGUUUUUGAACGAUCUCAUACUAGACUCUUGUGGACACUUUAUGCUCAUAUUAUAUGUCUAGGUAGCUGGCAUUAGUUUGUUUCUCAAUCUUCUUUGUAUUUUCUUGUGGUCGGCUUCUGCCUUACACAGUCACUCUAGUUUUUGGGAGUUUUGGAGUACUGACACUUGUGGAAACUUCAAGUGACACAACAUGGCACAACAUCGGUACUCCUUGACACUCCAAAAAUGGGGUUCCCUAUAUACAUCCGAUAGGAGUGUUGGCAAUUGGCACUGCUUUUUGGACGACCCUAUGAAAAAGCACCUUAAUGCAUUAGAUGGCACUUGAAUUCUCAACUAUAUUAUUACUCAUGAAUAUUGCAUUAUAGUGUGCAGAGUCUCCAAACCCUUUUAGUGAAAGGCAACUUUUUUGGUUAUCCCCUUUAUAUUAUUAUAGGGUAAGUCAUAAUUAUUAAAAGUUUGAUUGAAUUGUCAAUCGAUGUUAGCUACAAAUACAUUCUGACACAUUUAUAAUAUUUUAUUAUUACAAGUUAAUGAAAAUGUUAGAUACUUGUGACACUUGCAACCUUUAUCUGUGUAUAGGUAACAUUGGUAGACAAUGAGUGUCACAGAGAUGUGAACAUUGUGAUGGAUGCCCGUAAACUUAAGUAUGACAAAAGUGAAAAGUAUACAUUAGGUUAAAUGUAUGAAUUCUACCGAAGUUUUUGGUACAAUCUGCCUAAGCAUCAUUCCAAGUGACUGCCUAUCAUUUAAGCACUCUGUGAUCCCUUGAUGAAACAACAUAUAUCAACUGCCUCUUAGAACACUGGCUAUAAGUAAAGAAUUUAUGUCUAAAUUCAUUAAUUUGGAUUGGUUAUAUUCAUUUUUGAACUUGAGAAUCCUGUAUAAGUAUGUUCUUUUUGUUAGUGGGAUAACAAGUGAUAUGUAAGAUUCUAUGAGAGGAGGAGGCCUUAGGAUUAGAUGAUUUGGUGAUUUUAAUAGGGCUUUAUUGGUGAAUGCUCUUAGAAAUAGGAAUCAAGAGGCUUUAUGGAACAAAUGGUGAGAGUACAGUUAAGAUAGGAAGGUGUGUGAUGAUAUGUGAUCGUUUAGCAGCUUGAAAGGAUGGAGUGCGAAAGAUGUUUUUGACAUUUGGGUCCAUGUUCAAAGCUAGAUUUUGCUUAGGUAUUGGAAUAACUUUUUGUUGGAAAAUUACAAUUUAAGGGCAUUUAUGGUUGUCUGCAACGAAGACCUGAGGAGGACCUAGUAAAACAAAGUGCUCAGAUUUGUGUGAAGGGUUUUGAAUGAAUUGACGACCCAAAGUAACAUUGAAAAGAAUUUGGAGAAGUUUGCAAUAAAAAUUGAGGUAGGCCUUCAUAGAAAUACUUAGCAAAGAAGAAUUUAAAACGUGCCCCAAAUAAGCUGUACAAGAAGUGAUGGUUAUUGAUAAGAAACUACAUUUUGUUAGUGACCUAGCA